rnacentral:rRNA from 1 species
ACGGGAGGCAGCAGUGGGGAAUAUUGGACAAUGGGGGAAACCCUGAUCCAGCGACGCCGCGUGAGUGAAGAAGUAUUUCGGUAUGUAAAGCUCUAUCAGCAGGGAAGAUAAUGACGGUACCUGACUAAGAAGCCCCGGCUAACUACGUGCCAGCAGCCGCGGUAAUACGUAGGGGGCAAGCGUUAUCCGGAUUUACUGGGUGUAAAGGGAGCGUAGACGGCAUGGCAAGUCUGAUGUGAAAGCCAGGGGCUCAACCCCUGAACUGCGCUUGGAACUGGCGGACUGGAGUCGCUGAGGGGGAACCGGAAUUCCUGGUGUAGGGGUGAAAUCUGUAGAUAUCAGGAAGAACACCGAUGGCGAAGGCAGGUUUCCAGCAGACGACUGACGCUGAGGUGCGAAGGUGCGGGGAGCAAACAGGAUUAGAUACCCUGGUA